AGAGCAUACGGUGGAUGCCUUGGCGAUAUCUGCCGACGAAGGACGUGACAAGCUGCGAAAAGCUGCGGAGAGAUGCAAAUAAUCGGCGACCCGCAGACAUCCGAAUGGAGCAAUCCGGCUGUGAUGAUGCACAGCCAUCCAUGCCCAAGAGCAUGAGAAGGGAACCGGGCGAACUGAAACAUCUAAGUAGCCCGAGGAAAAGAAAUCAAACGAGAUACCCCAAGUAGCGGCGAGCGAACAGGGAAGAAGCCCAAACCGGUGAAGGAAACUUUACCGGGGUUGAGGACCAUCAGACCCGCGAAGAACCUUAGCCGAAACUGUUGGGAAACAGUGCCGAAGACAGUGAAAGCCUGGUAGGCGAAAAAGAGAAACGCGGAGAUGGCACCAGAGUACCGCGGGACACGAGAAAUCCCGUGGGAAGCCGGGGGGACCACCCUCCAAGGCAAAACACAGAUAUCGACCGAUAGCGCAUAGUACCAUGAGGGAAAGGUGAAAAGCACCCCGGGAGGGGAAUGAAAGAGAACCUGAAACCGUAUGUUUACAAGCAGUCGGAGACCGCUUAAUAAUAAGGUCGACGGCGUGCCUAUUGAAGAAUGAACCGGCGAGUUACGAAGCCUGGCAAGGUUAAGCAGGAAAUGCGGAGCCGAAGCGAAAGCGAGUCUUAAGAGGGCGCAAGUCAGGAAGCGUAGACCCGAAACCACAGUGAUCUACCCAUGUCCAGGUUGAAACACAGGUAAAAAUGUGUGGAGGACCGAACCUAUAUCCGUUGAAAAGGGUUAGGAUGAGGUGUGGGUAGGGGUGAAAUUCCAAUCGAACGUGGAGAUAGCUGGUUCUCCCCGAAAUAGCUUUAGGGCUAGCCUCAGGGAAAAGAUUGCAGGCGGUAGAGCACUGAUCAGGAGAGGGACCUACCCGGUUACCAAACCCAGUCAAACUCCGAAUGGCUGCAAUCAUACCUGGGAGUCAGACUGCGACUAAUAAGGGCCGCAGUCAAAAGGGAAACAGCCCAGACCAUCAGCUAAGGUCCCCAAUGCCGUGCUAAGUGGCAAAGGAUGUGGCAUUUCAUAAACAACCAGGAUGUUGGCUCAGAAGCAGCCACCAUUUAAAGAGUGCGUAAUAGCUCACUGGUCGAGAGACGCUGCGCCGAAAAUGUCCGGGGCUCAAGCACGGAACCGAAGCUAUGGCAUGAUAGCAAUAUCAUGGGUAGGGGAGCGUUCUUAUAAGGAAGAAGCAUGACCGGAAGGACAUGUGGACAAAUAAGAAGUGAGAAUGCCGGUAUGAGUAUCGAAAAGAAAGGUGAGAAUCCUUUCCACCGAAAGCCCGAGGGUUCCUGAGCAACGAUCGUCGACUCAGGGUAAGUCGGGACCUAAGCCGAGGCGAAAAGCGUAGGCGAUGGACAACAGGUUGAAAUUCCUGUACCGGAUCAAGUCGAUUGAGCGAAGGAGCGACGCAGGAGGGCACAUGAUCGCGCGGCUGGAAGAGCGCGUCCAAGUGCGUAUGUUGCAGCAGAGGAAAACCCCUGCGGCUGAAAGCAGAGACAUGAUGGGGAGUUAAAGGAAACUUUGACGAACUCAUGAAUCCCACACUGCCAAGAAAAACUUCUAGCGAGACAAGAUCCGCCCGUACCGUAAACCGACACAGGUAGGCGGGGAGAGAAUCCUAAGGUGCGCGGGAAAACCCUCGUUAAGGAACUCGGCAAAUUGCAUCCGUAACCUAGGGAGAAGGAUGGCCCCCGGUCAGUGAAGAGCAGAAACGCUCAGAGCUAAAAGGGGCGGCAGAAAAGAGGCCCAAGCAACUGUUUACCAAAAACACAGGUGCCUGCGAAAGCGAAAGCUGAAGUAUAGGUGCUGACGCCUGCCCGGUGCCGGAAGGUUAAGGAGAGAAGUUAGCGAAAGCGAAGCAUCGAACUGAAGCCCCGGUGAACGGCGGCCGUAACUAUAACGGUCCUAAGGUAGCGAAAUUCCUUGUCGGGUAAGUUCCGACCCGCAUGAAAGGCGUAAUGAUUUGGGCACUGUCUCAACGAGGGGCCCGGUGAAAUUGAAAUACCUGUGAAGAUGCAGGUUACCCGCGACUGGACAGAAAGACCCCAUGGAGCUUCACUGCAGCUUGAGAUUGAAUCCCGGUGACAGAUGCACAGGAUAGGUGGGAGGCGCCGAAGCAUUGCCCUAGGGCGGUGCGGAGCCGAUGUUGGGAUACCACCCUUCUGUUGCUGAGAUUCUAACGCGAGGAGUAACGACCCUGCGGACCCUCUCAGGCAGGCGGUUUGACUGGGGCGGUCGCCUCCGAAAGAGU
rnacentral:rRNA from 1 species